rnacentral:rRNA from 1 species
GACGUAGGGCGCGAGCGUUGUCCGGAUUUAUUGGGCGUAAAGAGCUCGUAGGCGGCUUGUUGCGUCGGCUGUGAAAACCCGCAGCUCAACUGUGGGCUUGCAGCCGAUACGGGCAGGCUUGAGUUCGGUAGGGGAGACUGGAAUUCCUGGUGUAGCGGUGAAAUGCGCAGAUAUCAGGAGGAACACCGGUGGCGAAGGCGGGUCUCUGGGCCGGUACCGACGCUGAGGAGCGAAAGCGUGGGGAGCGAACAGG